CAGUAAAAAGGAACCCUUCAUGAGACUUCACUCUUUUGUUCUGCAUUUCCAAGCGAUACAGUUAUACAUGAUAAUGUCCUCAAAUAACAGUUGUAUCCUUGUACAAAACUGUACUGCAAAACCUGAUGUAAAUUACUCUUUAUUUGGACUUCUUAGUUUGCCUGUCAUUUUGGGGAUUGUGAUAUCAAUAGGAUUUUUCUUAAGGCAUAAGAAAUCAACAAAUAUUGAAGAAUCUGGAAAAAUUAAAAACACAGAUGCAGACCAUGGGACAUCAUGCACUGGAUAUACCGAGACAGCUCAGAACAACCCAGUCUAUGAGAACUAUAGGUGCAGAACCACUGAGCUAUCAACCACACAACAGUUUUCUGUGAAAGGAGGAGGGGCACACAGGACACAUAUCUCAGCUGAUGAUGAUUUGUAUCUUCAGUGUGACAAAAAUGAAGCUAUCUACAGCAACGAUCCUGCUUUCUACCCCUCACAGACAGAACACUCAGAGGAGCUGUACGUUUUACCAGAUUCAUUCAAGAUGUAGAAAGCAAAGGCCCCAGGACUGGAGUUAAAAAUAUCUGAUUUAAUAAAUAAACAAUAAGCAACACUGUUAAAGGAGUGUCUCUCCUUCACCUUCUUGUUCUGUACCUGGUUAGAAAAGUCCUCAGAGUUCCCUCACACUCACGGGCAGAUACUUUCCUGCAUCCUUCCUGUUUAAAGGAAUAGUUCAGUGUUUUCAACCUAAUCUGUUUACUGCAUGUGUACUGCAUGGUUGAUUAGCAGAAACAGUAAUUAUGACACGUUUUUUACAGAACACUGGAGUUUUCUUUUAAAGGCUGUCUCAGUAUUUCACUGACGGAGAGCUUGUAUAAGUGAAGUACUCAAACACAUUGCUCAUACAACAUCAGUAAUGGUACUCAUGCUCUGAUGCGUCAGGCUAGUGUAAGCUAGCUAGGUAGCUAGGAGUCAAUGUGAACAUGUGUGUCUCCAAUUCUACACUUUAAAAUAAAAUCUAAAGCAUAUUUGGAAAGUUCUAGCCAAUAACCUCUAACCUCUGAUAACCCUCUCUAUUUUUUGUUUACUCCACAAAGCAUGCACAACACACAUGGGUCACAGCACAGGCCAAGUUUAGCAGACCUAGUUUCAACCUUCUGAAAUCAAAGAGUCCAGAAAGCUGAAUGUUGCUUUACAAAUGGGUUGCAUUUGAAUAAAAAAAAAAAAUCAAUUUGUAGUAAGGAUAUAAAUAACUAUAGAGCACACCUCCUGAGCUCUGUGGACCUACACUUACGAAUGAACAGAAUGGAGUGUCACACUUGGAAAAGUUGAUCAAAUGUGGUUAUUUCUAGACUUACAGCAGAAAAGUAAGUUAGUUACAUAUUAGAAAAGUUUAAUAAAUUCAGAGAAAGGUUAAGGCAAACCUGUGACUGCACAUUACAGAAAAAUAGAAAUAUUGUGUUGAGAGGCCAUAUUUUCUCAGUAGUUCCAACACAGGUGGAAAUUAAAGUAGCAUUAUUGUUCAUAGGGUUUCGUUUGUGUUCCUGAUGUGGGCUGUACUUGGUGUGUACUGUUAGCUGAACUUCUGCUGUGUCAGGAACUGAUAUGCUGUUGCAAGAGGUUUGUUGAGAUCAGAAAGAUCUUAUUUGAUAAUAAAGACAGACAAAUAAUAAUGCCAGGUGGACUCGACAAAUAACAUCUCAUCUAUUAGUGUCUUUAUACAUGGAGACAGCUUUUGAUUCUCUAUAUUUGGAAUAAAGGAUUGUGUUAAUCUGUUAAUAAGCACAGAAAGCAUACUCCAAAUUUUCUAAAGUUACUUUUUACUAGCCUGUGUACAAGACACCUGUUCGCUGUGUUAGCUUUAGCCUAUUCUGUGUACAAGACACCUGCUCGCUGUGUUAGCUUUAGCCUAUUCUGUGUACAAGACACCUGCUCGCUGUGUUAGUUUUAGCCUAUUCUGUGUACAAGACACCUGCUCACUGUAUCAUAUUUCCUGCUAAUGCUCUAACACACAUCACAUCUCUUUAUUCCAGCAUAUAUUGUACUGAAUAAUUUAUAUGACAGUUAAUGUUAGACUUACCAGAACUAUAAGCAGAGCUAUAAGCAUAAUUAUUGAAAUUAACCUAAAGUUUCAAA